rnacentral:rRNA from 1 species
UGGGUUUAAAUAUAUCCCUUUACCCCUUUGGACCGGUUGAAUGAAUUUUUUGGAUCAAUUUUUCCAACCAUGGGUUUCUUGGUCAUUUAGAGGAAGUAAAAGUCGUAACAAGGUUUCCGUAGGUGAACCUGCGGAAGGAUCAUUAUGAAUUAAAAAUAUUUGUGAAUUUCAUACAGCAAACGAAAAUUUUAUAGUCAAAACAAAAAUUAAUUAAAACUUUUAACAAUGGAUCUCUUGGUUCUCGUAUCGAUGAAGAACGCAGCGAAACGCGAUAUUUCUUGUGAAUUGCAGAAGUGAAUCAUCAGUUUUUGAACGCACAUUGCACUUUGGGGUAUCCCCCAAAGUAUACUUGUUUGAGCGUUGUUUCUCUCUUGGAAUUGCUUUGCUCUUCUAAAAUUUCGAAUCAAAUUCUUUGAAAAACAACACUAUUCACCUCGAUCAAGUAGGAUUACCCGCUGAACUUAAGCAUAUCAAUAAGCGGAGGAAGGAUUUAGCAGGUUUUAUUAUGGCUUUUGGGCGAAAAAAUUUCC